UUUGUAUAAAAGGCAGGCAACUCAGUAUGUAUCUGGUGGUUAGAAAUAGUGUUAAAGCAAAAUGACCUCUUGUCUUUUUCUGUCUUCCCCCACUCACCCCUUUCUUGAAGAAGCCAGCAGAACAUGUGUCUUUGUCAAAUCCAGCUCCCCUUCUAGUUUCUCCAGAGGUACAUCUAACUCCUGCGGUGCCUUCUUUACCAGCCACUGUGCCAGCCUGGCCAAGUGAACCUACAACUUUUGGACCAACAGGUGUCCCUGCUCCAAUUCCCGUUUUGUCAGUGACACAGACUUUGACCACUGGACCUGAUUCAGCUGUAUCCCAAGCUCAUUUAACACCCUCUCCAGUUCCUGUGUCAAUACAGGCAGUUAACCAGCCCUUGAUGCCUUUGCCUCAGACAUUGAGCCUUUAUCAAGACCCACUCUAUCCUGGGUUUCCUUGUAAUGAAAAGGGAGAUCGAGCCAUUGUACCACCUUAUUCACUGUGUCAGACUGGGGAGGACCUACCUAAAGGUGAGCUCCUUCUCCAAGUUCAAAUCGACUUUAUCAAGUCCAAAUAAGCUUAGUUAAGAAAUGAAGAGAUGUAAGUAGAGGUCAGAGGUCUGGUUUCUUAGUAAGCUCAAGGAUGGG
rnacentral:lncRNA from 1 species